AUCACAUCUAGGAAGUGAGGAGCGUCUCUGCCCGGCCGCCCAUCGUCUGAGAUGUGGGGAGCGCCUCUGCCCCGCUGCCCCAUCUGGGAUGUGAGGAGCGCCUCUGCCCGGCCGAGACCCCGUCUGGGAGGUGAGGAGCGUCUCUGCCCGGCCGCCCCGUCUGAGAAGUGAGGAGACCCUCUGUCUGGCAACCACCCCGUCUGAGAAGUGAGGAGCCCCUCCGCCCGGCAGCUGCCCCGUCUGAGAAGGGAGGAGCCUCUCCGCCCGGCAGCCACCCCAUCUGGGAAGUGAGGAGCGUCUCCGCCCGGCAGCCACCCCGUCCGGCAGGGAGGUGGGGGGGGGGUCAGCCUCCCGCCCGGCCAGCCGCCCCAUCCGGGAGGGAGGUGGGGGGGUCAGCCCCCCGCCUGGCCAGCCGUGCCGUCCGGGAGGGAGGUGGGGGGGUCAGCCCCCCGCCCGGCCAGCCGCCCCGUCCGGGAGGGAGGUGGUGGGGGUCAGCCCCCGCACCCGGCCAGCCGCCCCGUCCGGGAGGUGAGGGGCGCCUCUGCCCGGCCGCCCCUACUGGGAAGUGAGGAG
rnacentral:lncRNA from 1 species